rnacentral:rRNA from 1 species
CAGUAGCCGCGGUAAUACGAGGGGUGCCAGCGUUAUUCGGAUUGAUUGGGUGUAAAGGGUGUGCAGACGGCUUAUUAAGUCACUUGUUAAAUUCUUCGGCCUAACUGAAGGUCUGCAAGUGAUACUGAUGAGCUAGAGAGUGGAAGAGAGAAGUGGAAUUCUCGGAGUAGCGGUAAAAUGCGUAGAUCUCGAGAGGAACACCAGUGGCGAAGGCAGCUUCUUGGUCCAUUCCUGACGUUCAUACACGAAAGCGUGGGGAGCAAACAGGAUUAGAUACCCGAGUAGUCCCUGUCUCUUAUAC